rnacentral:rRNA from 1 species
UAUUUAAGUUGUUGCAGUUAAAAAGCUCGCUACUUGGAUUUCGAGAAGGGCCUUAGCGGUCCGCCCCUUCGGGGAGCGGGUCGCUGGCCUCCUAUGUUCCUAGCGGUCCUCAUCCGCGAGGGUGGGGAAUCAACCGCUAGGAUCGUUUACUUUGAGGAAAUUAUAGUGUUCAAAGCAGGCGUAACUCGCCUCCGAAUACGUUAGGAUGGGAUAAUGGAAUACGACUUCGGUUUGUUUCGUUGGUUUCGCUUGGCUGAAGUAAUGAUUGAUAGGGACAGUUGGGGGCAUUAUUAUUUAGUUGUAAGAGGUGAAAUUCUAGGAUUUACUAAGACUGACCGAUGCGAAAUCAUUUGCCAAGAUGUUUUCAUUAAUCAAGAACGAAAUGUAGGGGGGAUCAAAAACCAACAUGAUCCCGUCCGUACUUCCCCCCGAAAAAUUUUGCCACCAGGAUNCCCGGAAAUUUUUCCUUGGACAAAUCCCCGGGCCUCCCUGGAAA